rnacentral:tRNA from 1 species
GCCUGGCUGGUUCAGUUGGUAGAACAUGUGACUCUUGAUCUUGGGGUCAUGAGUUUGAGCCCCAUGUUGGGUG